GCGCCUCCCCGCUUCUGCCCUGUCUCCAGAGCAAUGCAGCGGCUCCCGGAGGAGAGCGUGGAAGCCUCCCGCCUGCUGUGCUGUGCUUGUGCUCUUUCCCCUGGCAGGUGGGCUGCUGGGCACUCAGAGUGCGAGUGGUGAGUGGCAAAGGACUGGUGAGGGGGGCGCGACGUGCUCUCACCCCGACCCUCCCAGGCACGGGCCUCCUCCGGCCGCCUCCCCGCUUCCACCCCAUCUCUGGGAGCAAUGCCCCGCCGCGCACGCACAGGCAGCCUCCUCCUUAGCGGUCGUGACUGUGACACUGUUAGGACCAAUUAGCAAUUACCUUUUUAUAUAUAGAUAGAUAUUUAUUUGUUGUGUGUCUCCCACACCCUCAAUGUCAGCUCCAAGAAGGUAGAUCUUGUUAGUUCUGUUCAAUGAUGUUUGUGUCCCAAGUGCCUGGAGCGGUACCAAGCACACAGUAUUAUAAUGCCACACUAACCUAAACAUUCUGUGUCUUUGUUAUGGGUGGGGCCACAACAUUAGUAACAACGAAACAGAAUUUCCGGAGGAUGAGGCCCAGAAAUCAGGAUUUUAAAAAGAUUCCCAGGUGAUUCUAAUGUGCAGCCAAGGUUGAGAACCACUGCUCUCGACUCUAGUCUAGAGGCAAAGAGGGCGUCAUGGCUCCACCUCCCCACAAGGGGGCACCCUGAAGCAAGAGCCUAGGCUGCAUUUACUGACACUUCAUGAAGAGAGGAGCCAGGCUUACCAAGAAUUGCUUUUUGUAAGAAUCUCUUUUCUUCUUUUCAGUGCCCACGAGCAGGUCAUGUUGGGACACUGGUGGCGAGCAGGGCUGUCUCUGAAUGCCUUCCUCAGGGCAGCGUAGAUGCCAGGCAUGCCCCGCCCUGUGGCCGAGCCUGCCCCAGGUCACCGGCUGUUCUUAGCCCAUCAGGAUACUUAAUCUGUGGCACAGAAUCUAAUGAAGAGUUUGGCCCCACCUCCAGAAGAAGGAGGGGAUGUGGAAGAUGUAAGCGGAGGCUGACAUGCAGACCCAGCAUAGAAGUGGGACUGGACCAGGGCGUCCACACCGUAUGGAGAUGUCAAGAGGCUGAGUGCAGGCUGAUGACGGCUUUACAAAUCCGCACCUCUCCUUGGGCGGGCAGCCUCUCUCCUACUAGCCUUGCAGAAGGAUGACUUCAUGCUUCAGCAGGUCUGCAUCCUGUGUUUACAGACAUUUUAUGGACAAGCAUAAGGCUCUGCUUCUUGGAAAACACACGGAGGCCAGGUGAGCCUGGAGUGCUCCAGGAGGAACGCACACCUCUGGCCUCGUGGGAGCGGCUAUCGCAACGUGCAGCGGGCGGGGUGGGACACACACGCUUCCCCACGUGGCGGCGGGAUCCACGGCCCGCAGACUGGGAAGAGGUUCGCCUUGCGGUUGGAGUACCCGGUGUGAGGGGGGAGCAGCGGGCUAUGAUGCGCUGAGCUCAGAGAGGCUGCUUUGCAAAGCCUUGGCCUCAGGAGGAGGUUAAAAUGCAGCGGUGACGUCAGCAGAGCAGAGGAAGGCACGGUCCGCAUCUGGGUGUUCAGCCUGGGCUGCCUCUCCGAAGCGGCCAUCGAACGUGGAGAGUUGCAGCCGGUUUGCCCUCUUAUCAUUCCAGCAAAAUUGCUUUUCUUAAGAUCAUCAAUGACCUCCAUAUUGUUAAAUCCAAUGAUCAUGUUCAUCUUACCUGACCCAUCAGCAAGAUUCAACAGUUGAUCACUCCCCUUCCUCCUUGAAACACUUUCCCCACCUGACUUCCAGAACUGCAGCCAUCAAUAGUACUGAUAUUCUUCUUACCUCAUUAACUCCACUGAGCAUAGCUGAACAAAGUGUACCUGCACAGCACACCAACACACCCAAGAGAUCCAUCCAUUUGUGAUCUGAAAAAUGCAAUAGACAGAAGAGCAGAUGAGAACCCACAGAACAAAACCUGAAACUGGAAAGUGGUAAUCACUUCCAUAAAGAAGAAACUCAGUGUGUGUGUGUGGGGGGGGG